UACGUAGGGUGCAAGCGUUGUCCGGAAUUAUUGGGCGUAAAGAGCUCGUAGGCGGUUUGUUGCGUCGGCUGUGAAAUCCCGAGGCUCAACCUCGGGUCUGCAGUCGAUACGAGCAAACUAGAGUGUUGCAGGGGAGACUGGAAUUCCUGGUGUAGCGGUGAAAUGCGUAGAUAUCAGGAGGAAUACCGGUGGCGAAAGCGACUCUCUGGACGGUAACUGACGCUGAGGCACGAAAGCGUGGGGAGCAAACAGG
rnacentral:rRNA from 1 species